rnacentral:rRNA from 1 species
GAUGAAGGCCCUAGGGUUGUAAAGCUCUUUCGGCGGGGACGAUAAUGACGGUACCCGCAGAAGGAGCCCCGGCUAACUUCGUGCCAGCAGCCGCGGUAAUACGGAGGGUGCGAGCGUUGUUCGGAAUUACUGGGCGUAAAGCGCGUGUAGGCGGCCUCCUCAGUCUGGUGUGAAAGCCCGGGGCUCACCCCCGGAAGUGCAUUGGAUACUGGGAGGCUGGAGUACCGGAGAGGAGGGUGGAAUUCCUGGUGUAGCGGUGAAAUGCGUAGAUAUCAGGAGGAACACCGGUGGCGAAGGCGGCCCUCUGGACGGAUACUGACGCUGAGACGCGAAAGCGUGGGGAGCAAACAGGAUUAGAUACCCUGGUAGUCCACGCCGUAAACGAUGAUCACUCGAGAUUGGCGAUAUACGGUCAGUCUCCUAGCGAAAGCGUUAAGUGAUCCACCUGGGGAGUACGAUCGCAAGAUUG